AUUGAACGCUGGCGGCAUGCUUUACACAUGCAAGUCGAACGGUAACAGGCCGCAAGGUGCUGACGAGUGGCGAACGGGUGAGUAAUGCAUCGGAACGUGCCCAGUCGUGGGGGAUAACUACUCGAAAGAGUAGCUAAUACCGCAUACGAUCUAUGGAUGAAAGCGGGGGACCGUAAGGCCUCGCGCGAUUGGAGCGGCCGGUGUCAGAUUAGGUAGUUGGUGGGGUAAAGGCUCACCAAGCCAACGAUCUGUAGCUGGUCUGAGAGGACAACCAGCCACACUGGGACUGAGACACGGCCCAGACUCCUACGGGAGGCAGCAGUGGGGAAUUUUGGACAAUGGGCGCAAGCCUGAUCCAGCAAUGCCGCGUGCAGGAAGAAGGCCUUCGGGUUGUAAACUGCUUUUGUACGGAACGAAACGGCUCUGGUUAAUACCCGGGGCUAAUGACGGUACCGUAAGAAUAAGCACCGGCUAACUACGUG
rnacentral:rRNA from 1 species